GUGUGUGUGUGUGUGUGUGUUCUGAGGGUUUUUUGGGGGGUUUUUGGGUUUUUGUUUGUUUGUUUUUUGCGUACGUGUGUGAGCAUAUCAUGUAUUAUCAGAUGGCCAAAGUAGGGUUCUGUUUACUCCCUGUUAACUCUAUGGUGCUCGUGUGCUCUACAGAACUAGAGCGAUGCGGACCAGGCUGUCGGAGCUUUGAGAGCGUGCGUAUCUCACUCGCUCUGUUUGCAUCAACACUGCUGGAGUUAGAGUGAUUGUUGUAUAACUGUUGACGGCUUGAAAAAACUCUCUGUGUCUCUUAAAUUAUUUAAACACCGUGGCCCUGUUAAGUGUGUUAUAUUUUUAUUUAGACCAGGCAUAUGAAAUGCCUCUCUGGGACUCACUGAAGGGUGUCUCAAAACUCCAGCUCAGACCUAGAAAUGGAGUCAUGUAGACCCAUCAUGAACUCACUCUCCCUGCCUGGGCCAUGGAAUAAUGAGAUCUAAAGGUUUUCUGGAUUCUUUGGCAAUGUUAGUAGAGAGGCUUAGAAAAGAGGAGGCAGCACCCACCCCACCACUUCAGAAUUGGGGAAGGGACUCUGCAGUCUCUCUCAACCUCUGAGGUUAGACAAGCUGUUCCUGGGUAGACUGGCCAAAUUAGGGAAACUGCUUCAAGCAAUCUAUGGAGAUCAUGCUAAGUAAUUGUGAAAGCCUUGAAAAAAAGUGACCUUUUAAGAAAGGAUCACUAUUUAUUUAUAAUUUAUUUCCCUGAAUAGAUUUUAUUUUGGUGGGGGUGUUGGUUCCCCCCCCCCCCCAAUCCAUCCAUCUGGUUAGAAACUGUCCCAAGGACCUAUGGGGAGAGGGACUGUCCCCUUCUGCCUGGAGGCAGUGUGGUGCUGGUCUGGGCCCACGCCACCCUGGUGAGAGUCCGGAAGGGCUUGGAUACUGGGCUUUGCCGAGCUCCAGAGCUCUGUGCACUCGCUCUCUGGGGCCCCACUGCCCUUUGCCGUUGAGCCUGUUCUGGGGGAAAGAGGAGAAGUUAGUACCCAUGUCCUGCUAGGUCCCUCACGGUAAUGGCUUUUGGAAGAGGACUCUUGUACCUGCUGACGGCCGCUGUCUGUGCGUCCAUCCUUCCCUUCAGGCUGGCCAUGGAGGCGACAAUCACACAGACUCGUCUGUCCCUGUGCCUGGGAAGCCCGGCCUCUGGACGGACACCACCUCCCUCUGCUGCCCUGCUGGCUUUUGUAGAAUUGGGGUGGAAGGGGAGAGGGAAAGAACUGUUGGUCCUUCGGGGCCCCUGAUCUUUCCUAAGACUAGCAUAAAAUUUCUGUCUGUCAUUCUGUUUGUUGGGGGUGGAGGGACAUUGGGGUGCUGGCUGGGCCACUGUGUGAAGCAAUGUGUGUCUAAUUUAACGGAUGUACCAUUUUCUCUGCUAAUUGAGAGAGCAUUAUUUAUUUGUUUUGACACAAGUGCGUGCAGUGUUUCAUCCCAGCUAAUGGCUUCUUAAAGGUAAUAAAACCCUUCAACCUAAUUGGUCAGAUAAGACUUUUUCCUUGUAUGCUUAAAUAAAGCAAUUAGUGAAACGCUUCAAUCCAAAAUGACUUUUUUUUUGUCCUUUUUUUUUUUUUUUUUUUAAAAAAAAAGCUAAUUUACUGUUACUGGAAACUUUUUGUACAAUAAAGCAAUCUCACAGAUUGAAGAGC
rnacentral:lncRNA from 1 species